GUUAGGAAUAUUGGACAAUGGGCGCAAGCCUGAUCCAGCCAUGCCACGUGAGUGAUGAAGGCCUUCGGGUUGUAAAGCUCUUUAGUCCACGAAUAUAAUGACUGUAGUGGAAGAAUAAGCCCCGGCUAACUUCGUGCCAGCAGCCGCGGUAAUACGAAGGGGGCGAGCGUUAUUCGGAAUCACUGGGCGUAAAGCGUGCGUAGGCUGUUUUGUAAGUCAGAAGUGAAAGCCCAGGGCUUAACCCUGGAAUUGCUUUUGAAACUACAAGACUCGAAUUCGGGAGAGGAUAGCGGAAUUGUCAGUGUAGCAGUGAAAUGCGUAGAUAUUGACAGGAACACCAGUGGCGCAAGCGGCUAUCUGGACCGAUAUUGACGCUGAGGCACGAAAGCGUGGGGAGCAAACAGGAUUAGAUACCCUAGUAGUCC
rnacentral:rRNA from 1 species